GGGUAGAAGCAUAGAGGGGGCUUUUAUUUUGACACUGGUGUUUUGAUUGAUCUCGGCUUCACCCGCUAUAUAGUCUCGCGCAGGGAGAACGAAGUAUCGUUUGAUCUCGUGGGGGCAAAUCUGAGCUCGGCGUCGGGAAGAUCCGUGAAGCUGUAUGUUGCUAAUGUGCAUGUUAAACUUUUGGGGAAGACCAUAGGAACGUGACUGAGCCUGCUGGCGCCGUGUGUGUGCGAGAAGCCCACAUUUACACAGGGAGAGUGGGGGGCUUUCUGAAUCAGCAGUGUGGCGUGACAGAUAUUGUGUGAGCCCCUGGGGAUAUCUGAAGUACUACAAAGUGAAGUUGCGCUGUGCAUUCCACCUGCUACAGUUAACCGGUCUGUACGGUCAGCAACAAUAGCCACUGCUUUUUCUUCUUCCCCUUUUUUAAUACCUCUGCAUUACAUCAUUUUUAAAUAGUUAAUAAAGGAAUAUUUUAGUAUAUUAUUGGGAGGCUUUUUGACCCAGGGCAGCCCCUAAUAUAUUUUACCCCUGGUUAAUCUGGUGCCUUUUUAAUUUAGGAAGGACGGUUAGGAGGCGCACGCUGAAAGGUAGAGGAUAUUCAGCUCAUUUAAGCCGGGUUUCUGUCCCACCUAUAUUGAAGGUUGCUGUGUCACGUUUGGUUUAUUUUUGAUUUGAUUAGUGUGGGUGACUGGAAGUAUAUUUAUGUAAUCUCUUUUCAUUGUCUACUGAUUUUAUUUAAUCACAGUGUGUAAUUUAGUAUGGGGGGUUGAACCUAGGCUGGUAUUGUGGUUCCUUCCUUUUUUUUAUGCGUGGUUAUUUUACCAUUAGUAAUUAAUAACCCAUCGAGGCCCAGAUUGUGCUAGGGUGAUGUGAUUUUAGAAGUGGGUCUGAUCGCUAUGAUGUGUGCAGCUGUCAAAUUUUCUAUCCUUAAUAAACCUGUUAAUAUACCAGCCUC